rnacentral:rRNA from 1 species
GACGACGCUGGCGGGCGUGCCUAACACAUGCAAGUCGAACGGGAUCCAUGAGAGCUUGCUCUCGGAAGAUCUAGUGGCGAACGGGUGAGUAACACGUGAGAAACCUGCCCUGGAGUGGGGAAUAACUCGGGGAAACCCGAGCUAAUACCGCAUACCCUUGGAUGAUCGCAUGGUCGACCAAGGAAAGAUUUAUCGCUCUAGGAGGGUCUCGCGGCCUAUCAGCUAGUUGGUGGGGGUAAUGGCCUACCAAGGCAACGACGGGUAGCUGGUUUGAGAGAACGAUCAGCCACACUGGGACUGAGACACGGCCCAGACUCCUACGGGAGGCAGCAGUGGGGAAUCUUGCGCAAUGGGCGAAAGCCUGACGCAGCAACGCCGCGUGCGGGAUGACGGCCUUCGUGGUUGUAAACCGCUUUCAGCAGGGACGAAAAUGACGGUACCUGCAGAAGAAGCCCCGGCUAACUACGUG